GAAGUCAGUUCUUAUUUAAUAUACACAUGCAAGUCUCCGCACCCCUGUGAAAACGCCCUAAUAACCCCUAUAGGGAAUAGGAGCUGGUAUCAGGCACAACCUCCUUGCCCAAAACACCUAGCCUCGCCACACCCACAAGGGCCCUCAGCAGUGAUAAACAUUGAGCAUAAGCGACAGCUUGACUCAGUUAAAUUACCCAGAGCCGGCCAAUCUGGUGCCAGCCGCCGCGGUUAUACCAGAAGCUCAAAUUGAUUUCUAUCGGCGUAAAGCGUGAUUAAAGACCUAAAUUUUUGGAAUCCAACUAAAAUUAAGCUGUGACACGCCUGCUACCUAAGAAGACCUGAAACGAAAGUUAUUCCAA
rnacentral:rRNA from 1 species